UACGUAGGUGGCAAGCGUUGUCCGGAAUUUAUUGGGCGUAAAGCGCGCGCAGGCGGUCCUUUAAGUCUGAUGUGAAAGCCCACGGCUCAACCGUGGAGGGUCAUUGGAAACUGGGGGACUUGAGUACAGAAGAGGAAAGCGGAAUUCCACGUGUAGCGGUGAAAUGCGUAGAGAUGUGGAGGAACACCAGUGGCGAAGGCGGCUUUCUGGUCUGUAACUGACGCUGAGGCGCGAAAGCGUGGGGAGCAAACAGG
rnacentral:rRNA from 1 species